GAUGAACGCUGGCGGCGUGCCUAAUACAUGCAAGUCGAGCGAACGGACGAGAAGCUUGCUUCUCUGAUGUUAGCGGCGGACGGGUGAGUAGCACGUGGAUAACCUACCUAUAAGACUGGGAUAACUUCGGGAAACCGGAGCUAAUACCGGAUAAUAUUUUGAACCGCAUGGUUCAAAAGUGAAAGACGGUCUUGCUGUCACUUAUAGAUGGAUCCGCGCUGCAUUAGCUAGUUGGUAAGGUAGCGGCUUACCAAGGCAACGAUGCAUAGCCGACCUGAGAGGGUGAUCGGCCACACUGGAACUGAGACACGGUCCAGACUCCUACGGGAGGCAGCAGUAGGGAAUCUUCCGCAAUGGGCGAAAGCCUGACGGAGCAACGCCGCGUGAGUGAUGAAGGUCUUCGGAUCGUAAAACUCUGUUAUUAGGGAAGAACAUAUGUGUAAGUAACUGUGCACAUCUUGACGGUACCUAAUCAGAAAGCCACGGCUAACUACGUGCCAGCAGCCGCGGUAAUACGUAGGUGGCAAGCGUUAUCCGGAAUUAUUGGGCGUAAAGCGCGCGUAGGCGGUUUUUUAAGUCUGAUGUGAAAGCCCACGGCUCAACCGUGGAGGGUCAUUGGAAACUGGAAAACUUGAGUGCAGAAGAGGAAAGUGGAAUUCCAUGUGUAGCGGUGAAAUGCGCAGAGAUAUGGAGGAACACCAGUGGCGAAGGCGACUUUCUGGUCUGUAACUGACGCUGAUGUGCGAAAGCGUGGGGAUCAAACAGGAUUAGAUACCCUGGUAGUCCACGCCGUAAACGAUGAGUGCUAAGUGUUAGGGGGUUUCCGCCCCUUAGUGCUGCAGCUAACGCAUUAAGCACUCCGCCUGGGGAGUACGACCGCAAGGUUGAAACUCAAAGGAAUUGACGGGGACCCGCACAAGCGGUGGAGCAUGUGGUUUAAUUCGAAGCAACGCGAAGAACCUUACCAAAUCUUGACAUCCUUUGACAACUCUAGAGAUAGAGCUUUCCCCUUCGGGGGACAAAGUGACAGGUGGUGCAUGGUUGUCGUCAGCUCGUGUCGUGAGAUGUUGGGUUAAGUCCCGCAACGAGCGCAACCCUUAAGCUUAGUUGCCAUCAUUAAGUUGGGCACUCUAAGUUGACUGCCGGUGACAAACCGGAGGAAGGUGGGGAUGACGUCAAAUCAUCAUGCCCCUUAUGAUUUGGGCUACACACGUGCUACAAUGGACAAUACAAAGGGCAGCGAAACCGCGAGGUCAAGCAAAUCCCAUAAAGUUGUUCUCAGUUCGGAUUGUAGUCUGCAACUCGACUACAUGAAGCUGGAAUCGCUAGUAAUCGUAGAUCAGCAUGCUACGGUGAAUACGUUCCCGGGUCU
rnacentral:rRNA from 1 species